UUUGCUCUCAUUGCAAGUAGAGCUUCACCUUUCUUGUGCUGUAGCAAGAGUGAUUAAAGGCAGCUGAGAGAAGUUUAUCUUACUGUCUGAAAUAUUUUGCGAACCUUGCUUCUUUACUGCUGUGGAGGGGAUCUUUCAGAUGCUGAAGUUGAGAUGCCUUUCCAAACUUAUCAAGGACAAGGGAACCGUUUCGGAACAGAAACAUUGGAAGAGGACACCCAGCACUCACAACAUCCAGCAGGAGCAGCAGGAAGCAUCAGAUAUUGUCGGGGAAUUCUUCAGUUCCAGAAGUUUUGAAGAAACGUCUGAUCCAAAUUCUGGAGUGGAGGAAGUGCUGAGAGCUGCCAUGUGCCCUGCAGAGCACAAGGAGCUGUGGACGAAGAUCUGCAUUCCUCCUGGACCCAGCGCUUGCUGGGACCACAUAGGAAGCUGAGUCCCGUGUUACAGGAUUGUUCCUUUUGAAGCCUGCUGUUCCCGGAUCGUGAGAUUGUGACCUCAGAGCGCCUUCAGCCAAUUGUUGCUCAGAUGCUUAUGGUGAGAUGGAAGAUGGAAGAUGGAGAUGGAAGAUGGAGCUGGAAUAGGUCCUGGAGAGCUGUGUCUGGAUUCAGUUUUCUGAGCCUUGAGGCCAAACCAUGGUUCAGGCAAGAGGGCACUUGGCUUCUAG